rnacentral:rRNA from 1 species
UUGCAAGUCGAACGCGAAAGUCCCCUUCGGGGGGCAAGUAGAGUGGCGCACGGGUGAGUAACACGUAGGUAAUCUACCUUCGGAUGGGGAAUAACAAUCGGAAACGAUUGCUAAUACCGCAUAAUGCAGCGGCACCUAAUGGUGACAGUUGUUAAAGCGGGGGAUCGAAAGACCUCGCGUCUGAAGAGGAGCCUGCGGCGGAUUAGCUAGUUGGUAAGGUAAUGGCUUACCAAGGCAACGAUCCGUAACCGGCCUGAGAGGGCGGUCGGUCACACUGACACUGACAUACGGGUCAGACUCCUACGGGAGGCAGCAGUCGGGAAUUUUGGGCAAUGGGCGAAAGCCUGACCCAGCAACGCCGCGUGAAGGAUGAAAUCCCUCGGGAUGUAAACUUCGCAAGAACGGGAAGAAUAAGUAGGGGAUAAUACCCCCUAUGAUGACGGUACCGUUUGUAAGCUCCGGCUAACUCCGUGCCAGCAGCCGCGGUAAUACGGGGGGAGCAAGCGUUGUUCGGAUUUACUGGGCGUAAAGGGCGCGUAGGCGGCCAGCACAAGUCAGUUGUGAAAUCUCCGAGCUUAACUCGGAAAGGUCAACUGAUACUGUGCGGCUAGAGUGCAGAAGGGGCAACUGGAAUUCUUGGUGUAGCGGUGAAAUGCGUAGAUAUCAAGAGGAACACCUGCGGCGAAGGCGGGUUGCUGGGCUGACACUGACGCUGAGGCGCGAAAGCUAGGGGAGCGAACGGGAUUAGAUACCCCGGUAGUCCUAGCCUUAAACGAUGAAUGCUUGGUGUCUGGGGUUAUAAAGUCCCCGGGUGCCGUCGCUAACGCUUUAAGCAUUCCGCCUGGGGAGUACGGUCGCAAGACUGAAACUCAAAGGAAUUGACGGGGACCCGCACAAGCGGUGGAGCAUGUGGUUUAAUUC